CAAUUAACCACUAGAUGUAUUUUUGUGACUGAAACAGGCAACAAGCAGCAGAGAUUAAAUAGCAAUAAACAUAGCACAUAGAUAAGUUGGUUAGCCCAUUUUUCUAUGAUUAAUUCAUGCUAGAUUUCUAUUUAGUAGUUUAUUCAGUUAGUAGCACUGCUGAAACUCCUAAAAAUGCUAAGUGUGUGAUUUAGGGAGUCUCUACAACAAAGGAUGUUGGGAGGUUAGAAGGGUUUUAAGAAGUGAAGUACCACCUGAAGCCAGAUCAUCUGAGAAAGAUAUCAGAUAGAACGGAGUAAUUGGGCAAUAAACCUGGAUUUGAGAUGUCAGAGGAAGAAGAUUCUUUUCUGAAUGUUAAAAGAUCUUUGAAAAAGAGAAUGGUGAAACACAGCACUCCAGUGGACUCAAUGCUUUCAAGAACAAUGCCAUCUCUUACAGAUCUGAUAAAUCAGUCAGUGAAGGACCAAGAUACCAGUAAGAGACUUUAUGGAUCGCCAGUGCCAAAACCAAAUCUAAGUAGAUCAUUAGCUCAAGUAUCAUCAGCACAUGUUGAAGCAUACAUCCCUCAUAUGUCCCCAAAAAGGCCUUCAACAGUGUUUAACUCUCAAGAAUUAAACAAAGAGAUAAGCCAAAGCUCUCGGGUUGUAUUUUCUAGAAAGAGGCUUUCCACUGUGUUGGCUUCUGAUGAAUCAAAUGAAGACCCAAGUGACAAGGUUGUCCCAAAAGAGGAAACUCAAGCUUCCACCAAAGCCUCUGAGGAGACUGCAGUAACUCCCAAGAGUGCACCUUCACGGCUUGUUACUGGAAUACCAGGGAUAAAAGAUGUCCUGAUAGUGAAAACCAGGAAGAAGAAAAUUGAUAAAGCUUUUGUGAGAAAGAAACAACAAGAAUGGGUGCUUCGUCAACUUAAAAACAUUGAGGAAGCAACUGAACAUGAACUGACAAUUGAAGAAGCUUGAUUGAACUACCCGUGGAAUCGGUGCUAUCACAUCCUUCUUGUGGGAAUAGUUGGUUCCAAUAAAUCACAUACCUGACUAUAG
rnacentral:lncRNA from 1 species